GACGAACGCUGGCGGCGUGCUUAACACAUGCAAGUCGAACGGAAAGGCCCUGCUUGCAGGGUACUCGAGUGGCGAACGGGUGAGUAACACGUGGGUGAUCUGCCCUGCACUUCGGGAUAAGCUUGGGAAACUGGGUCUAAUACCGGAUAGGAGCCAUCUUUAGUGUGGUGGUUGGAAAGUUUUUUCGGUGUUGGAUGAGCUCGCGGCCUAUCAGCUUGUUGGUGGGGUAAUGGCCUACCAAGGCGGCGACGGGUAGCCGGCCUGAGAGGGUGUACGGCCACAUUGGGACUGAGAUACGGCCCAGACUCCUACGGGAGGCAGCAGUGGGGAAUAUUGCACAAUGGGCGCAAGCCGGAUGCAGCGACGCCGCGUGGGGGAUGAAGGCCUUCGGGUUGUAAACUCCUUUCGCUAGGGACGAAGCUUUUUGUGACGGUACCUAGAUAGGAAGCACCGGCUAACUACGUG
rnacentral:rRNA from 1 species